GAUGAACGCUGGCGGCGUGCCUAAUACAUGCGAGUCGAGCGAACAGACGAGGAGCUUGCUCCUCUGACGUUAGCGGCGGACGGGUGAGUAACACGUGGAUAACCUACCUAUAAGACUGGGAUAACUUCGGGAAACCGGAGCUAAUACCGGAUAAUAUAUUGAACCGCAUGGUUCAAUAGUGAAAGACGGUUUUGCUGUCACUUAUAGAUGGAUCCGCGCCGCAUUAGCUAGUUGGUAAGGUAACGGCUUACCAAGGCAACGAUGCGUAGCCGACCUGAGAGGGUGAUCGGCCACACUGGAACUGAGACACGGUCCAGACUCCUACGGGAGGCAGCAGUAGGGAAUCUUCCGCAAUGGGCGAAAGCCUGACGGAGCAACGCCGCGUGAGUGAUGAAGGUCUUCGGAUCGUAAAACUCUGUUAUUAGGGAAGAACAGAUGUGUAAGUAACUAUGCACGUCUUGACGGUACCUAAUCAGAAAGCCACGGCUAACUACGUG
rnacentral:rRNA from 1 species